rnacentral:lncRNA from 1 species
UCAUCCUGUCCUCACAGUGGCUGGUGUGGAGACCGACAGACUUCAUCCUUAGGAUGGACCUUCAGGCACCCAGGCCACCUACUGACCUCUCUGGCAUGGGUGGGAACCGGGAGCUCGUUGGUAAGCAGGAGGCUUCAGGACUACUGAGCGAACACCGCUUCCUCUGUGGCACGCACCGUGCUUUGUCUUUUGGGUCAUCAUCUCAUCACCUCUGCACAGGAAGAUUAUCUCCCCCACUUUGUGAUGAGGAAACGGAGGCUCCAGGAGGAAAGAUGCAACCUGGGCCAGAGGCCCCUGGAGGCUGUGCCUGACCCCAGACAGAUCAGACAAACCCGAGCAGCCAUUAGCAGCUGCAUGGACUCCUUUGCAUUGUGGGGCUGCUCCUGGGGAUAUUUGUGUUGUGAAUGGGUAGAAUCUGAAUGGCAGAAUAUGAAUUUCCAGAUGUUCUUCUUAGAAGAUGCAGUCUGCCACAGAGACCGUGUAGAUGGAUUGAAUGGGGAUAUGACGGGGACGACCACCCCUUCAUUUGCUAAGUUCUUGAGCGUGGCAUCGAUCUCAGCCAUUCCACUGGAAUAGGGUCAGGAAGCAAAACGUGAGGGCUCUACCAGCUGCUCAGUCUAUCCUUUCCAAUUAAGCACACUGGAACUGAGGAAGCAACGACAGGGUGAGCCCUAACACCCUCAUCAUCACUGCUGAGCCUGCCUUGACAAGAACUCCAUUUAUCACCUGCCUCCAUAAUUUCCCAUCCUAACUAGCUGUCAUCAUGGAAUUUCACGUUCUGCUGAUGUCAUUAUAAUGGACCUUAACUAGUGGGCUGGAGGCAAUGAGGGGAUGUGAGGAUGCAUCUUGUGAAGGACAAAAGUCAUCUU